rnacentral:rRNA from 1 species
UACGUAGGGUGCGAGCGUUUGUCCGGAAUUAUUGGGCGUAAAGGGCUCGUAGGCGGUCUGUCACGAUCGGGAGUGAAAACUCAGGGCUUAACCCUGAGCUUGCGGUCGAUACGGCAUGACUGGAGUUCGGCAGGGGAGACGUGGAAUUCCGUGGUGGUAGCGGUGGAAAAUGCGCAGAUAUCAGGAGGAACACCGGUGGCGAAGGCGGGUCUCUGGGCCGAUACUGACGCUGAGGAGCGAAAGCGUGGGGAGCGAACAGG